CUCUGAAUGAGUCGAAGGUGUAUCUUCUUUAACUUUCAAUAACUUGCUAACUCCAAAAUUUGCUACUUUCAGGUGGCCAGAAUCAUCCCUCAGAAUAUUUCUUGCAAUAUCAAGGGCAAGUCUCACAACCGUCAUUGUUUUUAUUUCUCUUUUUCUACUCAAUAAUGCUCCUAGAUCUCCCUUUGGUAAAUAUUCUGUAACGAUCAUCAUCGGCCAACUUUGAGUAACAGCACCAAGAAACUGGACAACAUUGGG
rnacentral:misc_RNA from 1 species